ACAUCACAGCUUCUCUUCACGCAGUAACCGUCAGGAGACAAUGAAGAAGGACGCAUUCUGACUUGUUGAAGUUUCUUCCCAGAGCUUUGUGUUCUUCACAUCUAAAUGUUGAAAACUCAGGAUUUUAGAACUCAGGAUUGAGAACCUUGCCGGCUCUCCAGCCGUAUCGAGCCCUUUUGGAUAGGCGACUUAGAAUCCACCAUUUUGCCAAAAUGACUUACAUUUCCAAGAUUCCUAUUUCUUCUCUAUUUCUGAUUACACUUGAAUCAAAAAGGAAAUGUCUAGGAGGUACGGAGAGUGGAAGUGAGUUCCUGUGAUUGUCCCACCCUCUCAACUUUCCCGUUUUCUGGGUCAGCGACAUUCCUAAAGAUAUAGAGCCACUUUCCUGACGUGGUGAAGAGAUCUUUGCAUCAGGCGACUCAACACCUCUUCAUCCCAUUAAUGAAAUGGAUGACCUUUCCAGAAAGACAAUACACCUCUCAGAGUGAAAGACAGCUCACAUCCCACGAUCAAUAGAAGAAUUAUCUUAGCAUGCUUUCAUGUGGUCAGAAUAUUAAAGAGAAGAAAAUACAAAGUAACAAAAUGCCAAGACAGACUCGGUGACAUUUCUGAUCAUCUGUAACAUCAGUCUACAUGUUCCAUCAAUUAAAAAAUUUAAAAACUUAAAAUUUUUAGACACUUGAGUUGAUAUAAAAAAAAAAACUCCUCUUCCAGGAAGAGUUUAACUUUUCACCUAUAGGUAUUCUUAUAAGAAGGAAAUACUCUGGAGGACACCAAAGCCCUUGCUCUU